GGAUCAGUUGUGUCUUUAGUCAUCCAGGAAUUAUACUUUACUUAAGACACACCUCGGUGUUGGACUGUUGCAGCGUCCAGCUUCUCCUCAACAUUCCUCGUCUGUCCUCCAUCUUCCCCUCCAGGCUGCAGGGUCUCCACCCCUCUGCUG